UCGGCCACAUCACGUUCAAACACCAGUUUUCGAACGAUUACCGACGUUAAGCAACAUCGCGUCAGGUCAGUACCUAGAUGGGUAACCCCUUGGGAAUACCAGGUGCUACA